AUCAUUGGGAAAAGCCACAGAGAUGUUGUGUCCUUCGGGGCUCAAUGAAGGUGGUGCAUGGCUGUCGUCAGCUCGUGUCGUGAGAUGUUGGGUUAAGUCCCGCAACGAGCGCAACCCUUAUCCUAUGUUGCCAGCGCGUAAUGGCGGGGACUCGUAGGAGACUGCCGGGGUCAACUCGGAGGAAGGUGGGGAUGACGUCAAGUCAUCAUGCCCCUUAUGUCUAGGGCUGCAAACACGCUACAAUGGCCGGUACAAAGGGCUGCGAAACCGCGAGGUUUAGCGAAUCCCAUAAAGCCGGUCUCAGUUCGGAUUGGAGGCUGCAACUCGCCUCCAUGAAGCUGGAGUUGCUAGUAAUCCCGGAUCAGCACGCCGGGGUGAAUACGUUCCCGGGCAUGUACACACCGCCCGUCACACCACGAAAGUCGGCAACACCCGAAGCCGGUGGCCUAACCGUAAGGAAGGAGCCGUCGAAGGUGGGAUCG
rnacentral:rRNA from 1 species